rnacentral:rRNA from 1 species
CCAAAAGCUGGCGACCGGCGCACGGGUGAGUAACACGUAUCCAACCUGCCUCAUGCUCGGGGAUAGCCUUUCGAAAGAAAGAUUAAUAUCCGAUAGCAUAUAUUUCCCGCAUGGGUUUUAUAUUAAAGAAAUUCGGUAUGAGAUGGGGAUGCGUUCCAUUAGUUUGUUGGGGGGUAACGGCCCACCAAGACUACGAUGGAUAGGGGUUCUGAGAGGAAGGUCCCCCACAUUGGAACUGAGACACGGUCCAA